CCACCUACCCUUUACUCUUGUAUUUCAAUGCAUUUAAGAAAUAAAAUUAUACGGAACCUUAAUGAUCCCAUGGAUCAACCUCUAAUGAAGUCUCCAGGUUCCGUCGGCAUGACCUAGAAUCUCUGUCGUAGGUUGAAAGUACACUAACUUAAAUGAUCUAAUUUCAAACCAUUCCCAUGGGGUUUUGUUAUCUCCAAGUAUCCUUCUAUGUGUACACAUAGGAAGACGAAUGAUUAACUAGACAAGGAUGAAUGAUUUGGUUUGGAUGGGCAAAGCAUGUCAUAGUCAGAUACAGUGAAGCUUGUAACCUCGUGCUAAGAAGAGGAUAUUGCAGAAUUGGUAAUGGACAUUCUUGAGCAUGUGUUCGAGCCUUCAUAAUCGGUAUAUCGAAGGGGUAUACGAUAGCGUGACUGUUUGUCGGUGAUUCAAUGGUAGGGCCGUUUUGCAAAGUGUACAUUAUUUGAUAACAAGAGAGGGACUGGGGAGUGUAUUUUUUAGGUAAAGUGGAACAUAAUUAAAUAAUAAAUUUUUGGAAAA